rnacentral:rRNA from 2 species
GGGGGACAAAGUGACAGGUGGUGCAUGGUUGUCGUCAGCUCGUGUCGUGAGAUGUUGGGUUAAGUCCCGCAACGAGCGCAACCCUUAAGCUUAGUUGCCAUCAUUAAGUUGGGCACUCUAAGUUGACUGCCGGUGACAAACCGGAGGAAGGUGGGGAUGACGUCAAAUCAUCAUGCCCCUUAUGAUUUGGGCUACACACGUGCUACAAUGGACAAUACAAAGGGCAGCGAAACCGCGAGGUCAAGCAAAUCCCAUAAAGUUGUUCUCAGUUCGGAUUGUAGUCUGCAACUCGACUACAUGAAGCUGGAAUCGCUAGUAAUCGUAGAUCAGCAUGCUACGGUGAAUACGUUCCCGGGUCUUGUACACACCGCCCGUCACACCACGAGAGUUUGUAACACCCGAAGCCGGUGGAGUAACCAUUUGGAGCUAGCCGUCGAAGGUGGGACAAAUGAUUGGGGUGAAGUCGUAACAAGGUAGCCGUAUCGGAAGGUGCGGCUGGAUCACCUCCUUUCUAAGGA